GGGCUUGUACUGGUUUCGACAGGCCGGCUGAAGACGGUGAAGCUAUCCGUGGACUGUGACCACGUUAAAACGCAGAUUUUAAAUUAAACGCUGAUAAUAAAGAAUUAGCUUACGCUGCCUAAUUAAAGGUGGCUGCUGAUCUUAAGUGUCCUGCAGCUUAGGUUCAGUAUCAUCCUUUGCAGGGAACCCUGUCUGCUAAGCUUUGCGCAGGCAGGAGAAUUUAUGAAGCUACCGAAUUCGUGUGGAUGUCAGUUUCCACUGGAUAAGGGAAACAUUUUCCAUUUGGAAAAUAGAACAACUGACUAUGAUAGUAGAAGAACGUGGGAUUCCGGUUUGGACGCGGGUUCGACUCCCGCCAGGUCCAUUU
rnacentral:tmRNA from 1 species